CUUUAGUUCCAUAUAUAAUGUGUACUUUUUAUCAAAAACCAAAAUCUAACUUACUUGCUGCAUAACAGCUCGGAGGUCACUGACUGGAAGAGGAUCGAAGUUCAGCUCAUCCAUGUAGUCGUGAAGUCUCUGGACUUCAACAG